GUUGUUUUUCCAAAAAUCAAUUACGAAUGGCUUGAUUUUGUGUUGUAUUGACCUUAUCAGCUUUCUGCACUUUUUUCGAGUCUUUCUUAAUGCACUUUUCGGUUAACAAGUCAACAUCAAUUUCUUUUGUUGUAAAAGAGUAUUCGGAAGGUGGCUUUCUUUUCGGAGAAAGUGUUUAUAGCCCUAUACUUCUACAAUCGGAGAGAUUGAGGUCUGCAGCGUAGAUCCUUCGGGGUUAGAUACAUUUGUGCUAAGUUGUAGCUUUUCAUAGACAACUUGUUGACUAUGUUUAGUCAUGCGGCUUACUCGCUUAUGCUAUUUUACCUAC
rnacentral:rRNA from 1 species